CCUACGGGAGGCAGCAGUCGAGAAUCAUUCACAAUGGGGGAAACCCUGAUGGUGCGACGCCGCGUGGGGGAAUGAAGGUCUUCGGAUUGUAAACCCCUGUCAUGUGGGAGCAAAUUAAAAAGAUAGUACCACAAGAGGAAGAGACGGCUAACUCUGUGCCAGCAGCCGCGGUAAUACAGAGGUCUCAAGCGUUGUUCGGAAUCACUGGGCGUAAAGCGUGCGUAGGCUGUUUCGUAAGUCGUGUGUGAAAGGCGCGGGCUCAACCCGCGGACGGCACAUGAUACUGGGAGACUAGAGUAAUGGAAGGGGAACGCGAAAUGUGGGUGUAGCAGGGAAAAGCG
rnacentral:rRNA from 1 species